rnacentral:misc_RNA from 1 species
UGGAGUGUUGGGCAGAGGCAGCUUCUUUGCUUAGGAAGAGUGAUGCUAAAACGAAGCAGACUUCUAUUUAUGGACGAGGCAACCGCCUCUGUUGAUUCACAGACAGAUGCUGUGAUUCAGAAAAUCAUCCGCGAGGACUUCAACGCCUGUACUAUAAUCAGCAUUGCCCACAGAAUACCAACAGUCAUGGACUGUGAUAGAGUUCUUGUUGUAGAUGCAGGAAUAGCAAAAG